AGCGAACGCUGGCGGCAGGCUUAACACAUGCAAGUCGAGCGGGCGUAGCAAUACGUCAGCGGCAGACGGGUGAGUAACGCGUGGGAACGUACCUUUUGGUUCGGAACAACACAGGGAAACUUGUGCUUAUACCGGAUAAGCCCUUACGGGGAAAGAUUUAUCGCCGAAAGAUCGGCCCGCGUCUGAUUAGCUAGUUGGUGAGGUAACGGCUCACCAAGGCGACGAUCAGUAGCUGGUCUGAGAGGAUGAUCAGCCACAUUGGGACUGAGACACGGCCCAAACUCCUACGGGAGGCAGCAGUGGGGAAUAUUGGACAAUGGGGGCAACCCUGAUCCAGCCAUGCCGCGUGAGUGAUGAAGGCCCUAGGGUUGUAAAGCUCUUUUGUGCGGGAAGAUAAUGACGGUACCGCAAGAAUAAGCCCCGGCUAACUUCGUG
rnacentral:rRNA from 1 species